CUCAGCUUAGGUAUUCUAACUCUGCACAUUUAUUACUAGAAGGUUUCUGAGAAUUACAUAUAUACUGUUGAUAUUAACAUUUAGUAUUAUUAUGGAGAAUGCUGGACACUCUUUCAUUCAUAUGUAAAUAUAUUUAUGUAUGUAUAUCUACAUACAUAUAUAUAUACAGUACAAUGAAAACUCAUCAACAUAAUUAUUAUGACACACACUCAAUAUACAACACCUGACAUCUGUGUCACAACCCACACUACAUGUGUUCUCCUGUGAACCUCAGACUCCCAGACCUGUAUUCAUGAUCCCGGAUCAUACAUCAUCAGUGGUCAUAGUUGAUCCAACACCACCUUUGCCUUCCUCUGUGUCUCUUUUGAUAGUUACAUAACUAUUGGUCACAAAAUCCUUAGAUACUGUGGUAAUCCAACAGUUUGUGCCACCCUGAAUCUCUGUGUCUUCUCUUAAUUUCAGGGACCUCAGCACUGUGUCAUGGCCAUGUUAAAUUGAGCUCACAGUCACAGUUUUCCUAACAGGAACCUAUGCAUGCCUUUACCAAGAGAGCAGAGUUUUAUCAAGGUCACACAAAUCAGGACAAGAACUUUAACUCCACUUACAUCAGUUCUCUGGAUGCUCACACAUGGGAAUAGGGCAACCAUAGAACUCCCAGCCAGGCGACAGUGUCUCACUCAGCAUCCAUGCAGGAAGGAUAGAGCAGGGAAGAUAAUAAAAAGAUUGAUGUUUUUAAAUCAUUUCUAUACUUUCCCUUUCACUACCUGUUAUCUAGGAUUCAAAUUGUUGAUGGUGUCUUAAAGAAGCAAGGAAGGAGGUGACACUAUCUAGGGCUUAAUCCAUUAAUUAUAUAUCAUAUGUGAACUUGCAUGAUGUUUAUAAACAUCUUUAUGCCACUUUUUUCUUAACUGACUUCCAGAUUUUAUGCAUGUUGCAAUGCAUUUGUGGUCCAAUAUUUAAUUUAUAAGUGAUCAAUGCCUCAGUGAAUGUAUUUGCAUUUAUAUGUAUAUUUAUGUCAUGUUACAUUAAUGCAUGAAAGUGCCUGAUUCUAAUGUCUAGCAUGUCCUCCACAUGUCUAAAUUUUGUCACCUGGCUAAGAGGGAGGUGUGAGGUGUGUGAUGCUGUGAACCUCAGACAGGGAGUGAUGUAGCCAUCGUCAAUGCAUGACUUAGAAAGCCGCCAGCCUGGUCAUCAUUGGUCCAUACUACCUGUCUCUACUCUAGCAAUAUGUGCAUGUUUGCUGUUUAACAAUAAAAGUGCCUAUGAUUUUCUUUUCUCUUCUGGCAUAAGCAAGUCCCUUGCUCAGAUAAACUCGAUACUCUAUAGUAACAUAGAGCAUCGCUUUGAGGAAAGGAAACAGCAAUUUUGAAUGUUACUCACACAGGUUUGGGUCUUCUGUAAACACCCAAAAUAAGUGUAGAGUUUGAGCGUGGC
rnacentral:lncRNA from 1 species